rnacentral:rRNA from 1 species
AUACGAAAGGUGCAAGCGUUGUUCGGAUUUACUGGGCGUAAAGAGAGUGUAGGUGGUUUAUUAAGUCGGAUGUGAAAUCCCGGGGCUCAACCUCGGAACUGCAUUCGAUACUGAUAGGCUAGAGUUUGCGAGGGGUAAGCGGAAUUCCGUGUGUAGCAGUGAAAUGCGUAGAUAUACGGAGGAACACCUGAGGCGAAGGCGGCUUACUGGACCAAUACUGACACUGAGACUCGAAAGCGUGGGUAGCAAACAGAAUUAGAAACCCUAGUAGUCC